GAGGCUGGCGGAGCAGACCCGCACAGGCAGGCUGGGGGUUCCGGGCCGGCAGUGCGGACCCAAACUUCCCUGCAGCACGGUACCUCGAGGCAAGGAGUUCCCGCCUCUCUGGGUCACCCCACGUAUCUAAGGCCAGGCCGCCUGACGUCAUGCCUCGUAACGUUUUAUGCCAUUAACUGUCAGUGCCCGGAGAGCAGGGGCGACGCGCGUCGGGGGGAUCCCCUCCCACCCCAGGCCACGCAAGGCUCGUAAAAGCACCCAGUUAACGUUAACGGCUCAGAAUAAACCCUUGCCAUAGUUGCAGAUAUGCGGUGCCAAUAUCGCGCACAACCCGGGAUUCGUAAGGAGUAAAGAAAUACAGAAACAAAAGUUAGUUAUUCACGGAUUCAACACAUUUACUGAGCACCUAGACAGGUGGUAUUACCUGCCACUGGGCACUGGGCUCGACAGACAUCGGAGGUCCAAUGGCCAAAAAGAGUUGUCUGUCUUCUCCCAAAGCCUUUGUUUCCCCUCUGAGAAGCGAGAGGGCAGUACAAGGCAAUUACAGUGCUCUGGAAAUGUUAUGGUCCCGCACAUCCUUUAUGUUGCCAGAUACGAGCCUAUACAAAUCAAUUAACAAAAUGUAUAUAUUGCAACAGUGUCUAAACAGCAUCCUAUAAUUAAUAACUGUUGUUUGGGGUGCUCAACAAAGCCAUAAAAUCCAUUAACAGCCCUCCUGCUGCUCAGGCUUCCAGCACCGCCCUGGCAGCUCACCCAGCAGUUCUGAAGGCCAGUUCUUCUGCAUCUCCCUGCUCGGGCUGGCAGGGGAGAGAGGGGCGGCACCCCCCCCCCCACCCCAGCAGUGAAGCACGGCGGCUGCAGACAGGCUCAGACCAAGCAGGGCACUUCACUGCAGGUCUCUUUAACCUGCACAACCACCACUCCGCGCUAUUAUUAUUUUCAUUUCACACAUAAGGAAAUAGAGGCUCCGGCACCAACCUGGCUGAGGGGAUGAAAGUAAGUUCAGCCCUGGAAAUACUCCGGCCUCAAGAACUUCAAGUCCACGUCAACUGUGUGGAGUACUGCUGUGCCCGGUGCUUCUUCUGGACCACUGCAGAUGCAGAGAGCGGGCAAAGCAACCCAACAGUUAAUGCAUCACAUGGUGCCAGGCUUUGCAGUGGAGGGUUGACAUUCCAUACUUCCCUUAAUCCUUGCAACAGCAGGCAAAAUGUGGACCCGUGGACACACGUGGAGCCAUGCCAGCUCAAGCCUCACCAGCACCUUUGCCAACACCGCCAAGGAAAGCAUCAGCCCACAGGCACUGCCGGAGCAGUUCAGAUAUGCUGUGAAUACCUACACCUAGCUUUGUUCCACCAAAGGGGAUAGGAAAGAAUCUACUACUUAUUGAGCACCUACUAUGAGCCAGCCAUUAUAUACAUCACCUCAUUUAGUCAUCCCACAGCUCUGGAAGGUGAUUUAUUACUCCCAUCAGACACUCAUGGAAAUUAAGGCUCAAAGAGAUUAAGUUAUACUGUGCAUUAAUCAGUGCUCACCAAAGAAGUGGAACCAAUGGGAGAGAGACAGAGAGACAGAUAUAUAGAUACAAAUAUCUUUAUAUCUAUAUCUGAUAUAAAAAUGAUUGAUAAUAAAUAUGAAGAGAAAGAGAUUGACUUAUUAUAAGGCUCAUGCAAUUACAGGGGCUAUAAUUAUGGGAUCCUAGACCAAGAUCUAGGUCCUUGACCCCCAGGAGAGUCAAUGGUAUACUUCUAGUCCUAGUCUGAGAGCCUGGGGACCAGGAGAACCAAUGGUGUAGUUUCAGUCCAAAGACAGACAACCUUGAAAUCCGGGAAGAGCCAAAAUUUUAGUUCAAGUCCAAAAGUAGGAAAAACAAAAAACAGCAUCCCGGUUGAAAGGCAAGAGGAACCCUCUCUUACUCUGGAAGGGUCAGCCUUUUUGUUUUAUUCAGGCCUUCAACUGAUUGGAAGAGGGCCACCCCCGUUAGGGAAGGCCAUCUGCCUUAUUCAGUCUACUGAUUCAAACGUUAAUCUCAUCCAGAAACACCCUCAGAGGAACACACCCAGAAUACCCCAUGGCCCAGACAAGUUGACACAUAAAAUUAACCAUCACAUACUGCUACAAAUGAAGGAACUGGGAUUUAAACGGAGGUCUGUCUGCUUCUGAAGUUAUACUUUUUUGCAGCCAAAUGAGACAAUCUGUCCAGCUGCCAUCAUGACUUUAGGUGCCAGGUUUGGAUGGAGACCAAGGUGGGUUGCCCUGAGUCACCCCAAUCAUAACACCAGUGCAAGUUUUACCCAGCAGCCUUUGUCUUUCAGUAAGCUUUCACAGUUUCUCAGGAUGGAAUCCUGUCACCCUGCUGCAUGAAUUGUCACUGGCAGGUCUUCCCCAGAACGUUCCUUCCUACUUCUUUCCUUUCUGUAUCUAAGGGCCGGACUUGAGGCCCCUGCCCCAAGCUUUCAGCUGUUUCCACCCUCUUCUACCUGGUGUUCACACAAUUAGCUGCUUCAUCCCUUCUCCACUAUUAGGUACCCUCCAAGGGUCCACAAGACCUAUAGCAGAAGGAGGAUGCCUGAGUGGCUCAGCGGUUGAGCACCUGUCUUUGGCCCAGGGUGUGAUUCCUGGGAUCAAGUCCCACAUCGGACUCC